CCUACGUGUGGCUGCAGUGAGGAAUAUUGGUCAAUGGCCGUAAGGCUGAACCAGCCAAGUCGCGUGAAGGAAGAAGGAUCUCUGGUUUGUAAACUUCUUUUAUAGGGGAAUAAAGAUAUCCAGUUGUGGAUAUUUGCAGGUACCCUAUGAAUAAGCAUCGGCUCACUCCGUGCCAGCAGCCGCGGUCAUACGGAGGAUGCGAGCGUUAUCCGGAUUUAUUGGGUUUAAAGGGUGCGUAGGUUGUGAUUUAAGUCAGCGGUGAAAGGUUGUGGCCCAACCAUAAAAGUGCCGUUGAAACUGGAAGACUGGAGUGUGUUUGAGGUAGGCGGAAUGCGUGGUGUAGCGGUGAAAUGCAUAGAUAUCACGCAGAACUCCGAUUGCGAAGGCAGCUUACUAAGCCAUAACUGACACUGAAGCACGAAAGCGUGGGGAUCAAACAGGAUUAGAUACCCCAGUAGUC
rnacentral:rRNA from 1 species